rnacentral:rRNA from 1 species
GGGGAAUUUUCCGCAAUGGGCGCAAGCCUGACGGGGCAACGCCGCGUGAGGGAGGAAGGCCUGUGGGUUGUAAACCUCUUUUCUCAAGGAAGAACACAAUGACGGUACUUGAGGAAUCAGCAUCGGCUAACUCCGUGCCAGCAGCCGCGGUAAGACGGAGGAUGCAAGCGUUAUCCGGAAUUAUUGGGCGUAAAGCGUCCGUAGGUGGUUAUAAAAGUCUGUUGUUAAAGCCCACAGCUCAACUGUGGAUCGGCAAUGGAAACUGUAUGACUUGAGUGUGGUAGGGGUAGAGGGAAUUCCUAGUGUAGCGGUGAAAUGCGUAGAUAUUAGGAAGAACACCAGUGGCGAAGGCGCUCUACUGGGCCAUAACUGACACUGAUGGACGAAAGCUAGGGGAGCGAAAGGGAUUAGAUACCCCUGUAGUC